rnacentral:tRNA from 1 species
GGGGUCUUAGCUCAGUUGGUAGAGCGCCUGCUUUGCAAGCAGGAUGUCAGGGGUUCGAGUCCCCUAUUCUCCAC